rnacentral:rRNA from 1 species
UGGAUAGUGGCGACGGGUGAGUAACACGUGGGCAAUCUGCCCUUCACUCUGGGACAAGCCCUGGAAACGGGGUCUAAUACCGGAUAACACUCCUGCCUGCAUGGGCGGGGGUUAAAAGCUCCGGCGGUGAAGGAUGAGCCCGCGGCCUAUCAGCUUGUUGGUGGGGUAAUGGCCUACCAAGGCGACGACGGGUAGCCGGCCUGAGAGGGCGACCGGCCACACUGGGACUGAGACACGGCCCAGACUCCUACGGGAGGCAGCAGUGGGGAAUAUUGCACAAUGGGCGAAAGCCUGAUGCAGCGACGCCGCGUGAGGGAUGACGGCCUUCGGGUUGUAAACCUCUUUCAGCAGGGAAGAAGCGAAAGUGACGGUACCUGCAGAAGAAGCGCCGGCUAACUACGUGCCAGCAGCCGCGGUAAUACGUAGGGCGCAAGCGUUGUCCGGAAUUAUUGGGCGUAAAGAGCUCGUAGGCGGCUUGUCACGUCGGAUGUGAAAGCCCGGGGCUUAACCCCGGGUCUGCAUUCGAUACGGGCAGGCUAGAGUGUGGUAGGGGAGAUCGGAAUUCCUGGUGUAGCGGUGAAAUGCGCAGAUAUCAGGAGGAACACCGGUGGCGAAGGCGGAUCUCUGGGCCAUUACUGACGCUGAGGAGCGAAAGCGUGGGGAGCGAACAGGAUUAGAUACCCUGGUAGUCCACGCCGUAAACGUUGGGACUAGUGUUGGCGACAUUCCACGUCGUAGUGCCGCAGCUACGCAUUAGUUCCCCGCCUGGGGAGUACGCGCAGCUAAACUCAAGAUGACGGGACCGCCAGCAGCGGAGC